UCUUGGUCAUUUAGAGGAAGUAAAAGUCGUAACAAGGUUUCCGUAGGUGAACCUGCGGAAGGAUCAUUACCGAGAUUAGGGGGCCUUGGCCCUCGAACCUCCAACCCUUGACUGAAACUACCGCGUUGCUUUGGCGGGCCCGCCCUGAAAACGGGCCGCCGGGGGUGUCGCUGCCUCUGGCCCGUGCCCGCCAGUAGCCACAAUCAACCCUUUUUUUAACUGUGACGUCUGAGUGCAAAUACAAAUGUACGUAAAACUUUCAACAACGGAUCUCUUGGUUCUGGCAUCGAUGAAGAACGCAGCGAAAUGCGAUAAGUAAUGCGAAUUGCAGAGUUUUUGUGAGUCAUCGAAUCUUUGAACGCAUAUUGCGCCCUCUGGUAUUCCGGAGGGCAUGCCUGUCCGAGCGUCAUUAUCAACCCUCAAGCCCUGCUUGCUGUUGGACCCCUCGACGAAAGUCGACGGCCCCAAAGACAAUGACGGCGUUGUGGCAGCCCCCAGAUGCAAUGAGCUUUAACACGCACGCAUCACGGUGGUACCAUGACCCCCGUCUUUAACAAUUCUUCUAAGGUUGACCUCGGAUCAGGUAGGAAUACCCGCUGAACUUAAGCAUAUCAAUAAGCGGAGGA
rnacentral:rRNA from 1 species